ACUCCUACGGGAGGCAGCAGUAGGGAAUCUUCCACAAUGGGCGCAAGCCUGAUGGAGCAACACCGCGUGAGUGAAGAAGGGUUUCGGCUCGUAAAGCUCUGUUGUUAAAGAAGAACACGUAUGAGAGUAACUGUUCAUACGUUGACGGUAUUUAACCAGAAAGUCACGGCUAACUACGCGCCAGCAGCCGCGGUAAUACGUAGGUGGCAAGCGUUAUCCGGAUUUAUUGGGCGUAAAGAGAGUGCAGGCGGUUUUCUAAGUCUGAUGUGAAAGCCUUCGGCUUAACCGGAGAAGUGCAUCGGAAACUGGAUAACUUGAGUGCAGAAGAGGGUAGUGGAACUCCAUGUGUAGCGGUGGAAUGCGUAGAUAUAUGGAAGAACACCAGUGGCGAAGGCGGCUACCUGGUCUGCAACUGACGCUGAGACUCGAAAGCAUGGGUAGCGAACAGGAUUAGAUACCCCUGGUAGGAUAGCG
rnacentral:rRNA from 1 species